rnacentral:rRNA from 1 species
UACGUAGGGGGCAAGCGUUGUCCGGAAUUACUGGGCGUAAAGCGCGUGUAGGCGGGACGACAAGUCCGGCGUGAAAGGCUUGGGCUCAACCCGAGAUGGCCGUUGGAAACUGUCGUUCUUGAGGGUCGAAGAGGAGAGUGGAAUUCCUGGUGUAGCGGUGAAAUGCGUAGAGAUCAGGAGGAACACCCAUGGCGAAGGCAGCUCGCUGGGACGUAACUGACGCUGAGACGCGAAAGCGUGGGGAGCAAGCAGG